UGGGGGAUAUUGCACAAUGGGCGAAAGCCUGAUGCAGCGACGCCGCGUGGGGGAUGAAGGCUUUCGGGUUGUAAACCUCUUUCGCUAUCGAACAAGGCCCGCUUAGGGUGGGUUGAGGGUAGGUGGAGAAGAAGCGCCGGCUAACUACGUGCCAGCAGCCGCGGUAAUACGUAGGGCGCGAGCGUUGUCCGGAAUUAUUGGGCGUAAAGGGCUUGUAGGCGGCUUGUUGCGCCUGCUGUGAAAACGCGGGGCUUAACUUCGGGCGUUCAGUGGGUACGGGCAGGCUUGAGUGUGGUAGGGGUGACUGGAAUUCCAGGUGUAGCGGUGGAAUGCGCAGAUAUCUGGAGGAACACCGAUGGCGAAGGCAGGUCACUGGGCCAUUACUGACGCUGAGGAGCGAAAGCAUGGGUAGCGAACAGG
rnacentral:rRNA from 1 species